ensembl:lncRNA
AUAAAAAUUCUUUAGAUCUUGGAAGCAGACUGUGAAUAUUUGCAUAUGUAUAUCUUUAAUUUUCGCAGAACAGGCUGGCUACCAGAUGGGUGAACCAAAUAAGCCUCCAACAUUUAUCUGAGAGUUCGACGUUUUCCUGUGUUGUUAACCGCAGAGGAAACUAGGUGGUUUGCAGCCACGCUGAGCCGCUGCCAGCCCCCAGCCUUCGAAUAUUUUCACAGGGAGGGGGAGGAGGGAGGGGGCUUUUUCCUCCAAGCCAGAUGGCCGUAUGGAAUCAAUAAAAGUCCGUUUCAAAAGUUUGUUUACUUAACAUUGAAUAUAAUAUGCCUUUGUGGUCCCUUUGCACUGCACAAAAAUGUGAUCCAGCACCGAGCUAAUGAGGAGAGCGCUGCGGAGGACAUCGCUGCACCGGUCGUUGCCUUUUGCACCCACCUCGUGGGCUCUGUGGGGGCUUUUAGGGCUUGUAGGGCUGUGGGGCAGCAGGGACUCUUUCUUGCUGGAGCUCUGGAUGGUGGUACUUGGGCUGUGAGGAUGUCAGCUGGAUGUUGGAUGUCGGAAGUCAGAUGUUGGAUAUUGGAUGCUGGGUGUUGAAAGUUGGAUGUUGGAAGUUGGGUGUUGGAAGUCAGGUGUUGGGUAUUGGUAGUUGGAUGUUGGAAGUCAGGUGUCGGAUAUUGGAAGCUGGGUGUUGGAAGUCAGAUGUUGGAUAUUGGAUAUUGGAAGUUGGGUGUUGGAAAUUGAGUGUUGGAAGUUGAAUGUCAGAAGUUGGAUGUUAGAUGCUGGGUGUUGGAACUUGGAUGUUGAUUGGGUGCAGCCCCUCAAACCUGUGCAGGAGGAAGGCUCAGCAUGUGUGAAAUAUCUGAAACCUUGUAAGGUAUUCAUCUUGUGCUGUAAUUAUUUUUAAACAUCCCAAAUUAUAUGAGUAGUACAGGGAAAACAAUGUCGGCUUGUCUUUAAAACACAGCCUUUCAUUACGGAAAUCUGUCAUCUGUUAAUUCAUUAGAGCCCCGACAGAAAGAGCUGAGAUCAAAACUAUUUUAAAUGAUUCCUGAUGACACACAAUGGCAAAUUUCAGCCAUUAUUCCGGAAAUGUAACCAUCAUUCUUUCUGCUGGAUUCAACAAGGGUCCUUCCUCUGAUAUUAAUUGACUUCUAAGUAGUUGCACAUGUUGUUGUUGUGUUAUUGCUCAGAUCUCUUUCUGAAGUGCGUGGCGAUGUGAGCAAGAAGCCUUGGGAUCCUCAGAUCUCUCUGUCAUACCCACACAGCACUGAGCUCUUAGCACUGGGAACCAGGGGCUCACCAAGCUCUGGGCUCUGCUGCCUUCACCUGCUUUAGUGAGCGGGGGGCAGCUCGCCUCCAUGAGAAAAAGAAUAAAAAACACCACACAUCUGUUUUGUUUUUCUGUUGGUUUUUUUCUUUCUUUCUUUCCUUUUUUUUUUUUUUUUUUUUUUUUUCCCUGAAGAUCCAAGGCAGAAUUUCAAAGCAAAUUCCAAAUCUUAUUUUGCUGCCUUUGUUUCCACGACAUCUCUGAGGGCGCAGCUGUCUGCACUGCUCAUGGAGCCAUCCAAGAGCCCGCAUGGCAAACGCAGACCCAAGGUGCUGGGACAGACUCUGUGCUGUUAAUGAAUUUAUUUGUUAGAUGGCAUUAUUGCCACUCAAAGCAAGCUGCAGAAUCCGUGGAGUAUUUGCCAUUUGCAUUGUUUUCCCUUUGCAUUUCAGGCUUGGCUGGGGCAGCGCAGGUGCUGGUGGCCUCGUGAUGCUGGAAAGCCAUGUUCAUCCUCCUUGGUCUUUGUGGCUCAGCUGGUGCUGUGUGGGUAAUGCCUCACAUCUGCUGUGUGCACAGCACAACAUGGUCCUGGGAACCUGAAAGACGUGGAAGAAAACCAAGUCCUGUCCUUCAUGCAGCUUCUGCCACAAGGUGAGAAUCUCGGCCGACGUUCAGCCUCCAACAGAUGCUAUUCAUGUGAGUGAGAUGUGCUCCCCAUGGCCGUCGUGGUGGAUGUGGCCAUAGAAUAGAAUCACUGAGGCUGGAAAAGCCCUCUGAGAUGCCCAAGCCCACCCCACCCCAUCAUCCCCACUGACCAUGUCCCUCAGUGCCACAUCUCUGUGGUUCUGGAACACCUUCUGGGUGACCCCAGGUCUGUUCCCAAGGAUUUCUGCUGGUGUGUCACAGAACAUCUUUAUUCUUGUUGAGUAAUCCAGGCCAAGCGUAGGUUUACCCUGCAUGUAUGGGGCAGCUGGCAGGCAUUGAUGGGGGGCAGCAAAGUGCUUGUGGAGGAGAAGUGGUUCUUUGUGUUGCCAAAAAUCAGUAUUUUGUGCUGUUAAAGCUGGCUCUGUACUUUUUCCAAGUGAAGUAUAUGAAAAUCCUGCUCAAAUGAUGCGUGAGUUUCUUAUGAACUGGGCUGAGAGCCGAUAAAUUGCUGUGUUUAAUUAAAUACCUCGAUUUACUGAACUUGAGGUGAAGCCAAGCAUGGCAAGCAGGGCCGCUUUUAUGCAUUAUAAGAAGACAAGAAAGCCAACAAUGAGCCAUAAAAUAUUGUAGGACCAAAACAACAACAACAAAAGGGGAUGGGGUGGGAUUUGAGUGCUCUUUUUUCUUUAACAGAAUCCCACCCCUGCUUUGGUUUGAU